UGGGUCCGUAUCGGAGUACGGCCGAACUUCGUCACGGGUAGCUUAGUUGGGUGGCUCCCAUUAAACUUUCUCUUGCAUUGGGAACGGUCUUGAUGUGAGACUCCACCUGUAGUAAGUGGGUUCAAGCAUGCGUAUGGUUACAUUUGGGCAACCCCUGCAGGGUGUACAUCUUAUCGAUAAGCCGUGUCCGCGGUUAUGGACGACUUGGAAUUGUAUGGCUUGAUCAUAGAACAACUUACACCUUAUACUUGUUGCUAAUAAUUUUGCUAAUAACUUGUGUAGUAAUAUAGCAUUACCACAACCAAUAUCUAUAAAAUUUGUCAACCGUUGAGUGCCUUUUACAUUGCCUCUUCGCCUUGUUGAAGGGGAUAUGUGUAUUUGGCUGGGUUAUGCCUGUAGUAGUAUCUAGUUCGAUCCUUGUAUGCGCUCUCUUACCUUCUCUAAAUAGACGGAAGUUGUAGCGUGUCUCUAUAAGUAUUAGUACAAGUUUUGCUGCCGCUAAACCCACCAUAUAGCCCGGCGAGCAUAGCCUAGUUCCAGUCUCGCUGAGUACACGUGCUUUGGUACUCACGCUCUGCUUUCUAUCUAUCUUUCGGCAACCGUUGGCCCGACUUGCAGGUACGUUUGCUUGCGAGUAUCCGACAGGAGGAUACUACGUGGAGUACGAUGAUGAGGAUGUUUCCGGUCCGCAGUGAGAGUUCCUUAGCAGCGACCUGAGAUCCGUGGAUAUGGGCAUCGUCUGAUUUAUGGUCUUGGCAUCUUAUGCCUAUUUGCAUCUUGUCUGUACUCAGACUCUAUAUUCGCUUCCGCAUGAUGUAUGAUGUAUUGUUGGGAUAUGUAUCCUAUGAGUGUCAUUUGCUAUCUUGCUCAUUAGAGCGUUGCUAUAUAAACUUAUUUCCAUCUUUUGUGUCA